rnacentral:lncRNA from 1 species
AGAAUAGAAACUUUGUAAAGGAAUCACGUAAACAAGGUACCCUUCCUGUCUUCCCCAGUCAUCCUGGAUACCAAAUAGCCAUGUCUAUGCCCAAGGAUGCCUAUAAAGGAAGAACUCAAAACAGAACUCCAUGGAGCUUCAGAAUCUAAGAGAAAACUUACCCACAAUUCUCAGUUGCUUCGAGAGAACAAUGGACACCCUGCGCCCGGUGGGUCCCAAGCCUGGUCACUCAAUGCUCCUGGGGGUUGCUAGAUGCCCCACUGCAGGUCCCACUUCUGAUACCAUCUGUUGGGGAAUGAUUUGCAAAUUGAGCAGCCACCAGAAUCAGAAUAGGUUCAGAGAGACUCUGUGCUGCCACAUGCUUGGAGGGGAUUUAUGACUAGGAAAAGGAAAGUGAUGUACAGAAAGCAGAAGUGAGGUACAAAAACAACUGGAUUGGUUACAGCUCAGUGUUUGCCUUAUUUGAACCUGGUUGGAACAGUUGGCCACCUUUCAUUGGCUGAAACUAGCUUAUUGGUACAAGAGUACUUUACAGACUGUUUCCAUAUCUAGUUAAGUUACAGUUCACUAUAUACAGAGUAAUGUAAAGGCUGAACUUGAAAUCCAUGAGGACACAGCUUUAGGCUAAACUUAAUUUAACAAGACUAUAAAGUGUUUGCACUAGAAAACAAAGCAUAUUUUGAGUAGCAUUAGGGUAAACAAAUGCCUGCAAAUUUUACAGUAUCUUACAGGAGGAGGUAGGGUACUUACCAGCAGCCCCAGUAGAAGGGGGAAUUUGGUGAAGUAAUUCCCUGGCACUUCUAGCCUAAGAAGCUGAGCUCCCAGAGGAUCCCACAAAAGCCCUUGGAAAGAAAGGGCUUUUUCAGAAAUACAGAACACACCCACCAGAAUGAUAGGAUGAUAGGGUUUGAGAAAUAUAGGAAUCCAUUGCCCAGCUUGAUAUUGAUGUGGGCACACUGUGCCCACACGCAAAGCAAGAGAGUGAGUGAUUCUGGAAACAGCACUCAGUCAAUGACAGACGGACAGUGGUGGAUGAAUACCCAGCUUCUCAUCUGCUCAGCGGCAAAACAGUGAGACAUGUUCUACAGUGCCUCGCUUGGGUAGGUACAUCACACAUCCUCACCCUAAUGUGUCAUGACAAGGACUGAAGUGAAAGCUACACAAUUUAAAUGAUUGGUGAGCAAGAACUAUUCAAGGGCAUAACACAAAAAUAGUUUUGCCUGCUGUAACUGUACACAUGAUUUAAAAGACUUAAGCUUUCAGGACAAACAUUAUAGAGGAUUUUAAUUUCUUCCUAGAUAUACUUUUCAGCCAUAAACUUUAAAUAAACAAACUACUUGUUCGAGGAACCUAAAACCAUUGGCAAAAUGCAUUACAUUUGUGUUUUUUAUAUUUAAUAUAUUUUCUUUAUUAGUUUAUAUAAAAUAUACUACUUCCACUUCUACUUAUAAUUACAUAUCUUGUUAGAGCAACAGUUAAAAAAAAUGUAGUAGAUACAAGUAGUCUCCCCUAGCACCUAAUCAUCAUCCAACAUAUCUACCUUUUUUUUCGUCUCCUGAAAGGUUAUAAUUUUCUCUCUCUUUGCCGCUGCUCAAGGUAUCCCAGUUACAUGCACAAAGUAUAUCUCUAGUGCUUAUGAAUAUUUAAAAAGCCUCUGUGAGCUGAGCUGUGCAAACCCCAAAGCUUUUUGUUGAUAUAAAGUUAAUAUGAGUUUGAAUGAGGAUCUUUGGCCUCCUUUGCAAUAUAUUUAGCCAUGUUACAAUAGUGAUUGUAGGCCGGACACGGUGGCUCACGCCUGUAAUCCCAGCAUUUUGGGAGGCCGAGGCGGGCAGAUCACUUGAGGUCAGGAGUUCCAGACCACCCUGGCCAACAUGGUGAAACUCCGUCUCUACUAAAAAUACAAAAAAUUAGCCGGGUGUGGUGGCGGGCAGCCAUAAUCCCAGCUACUCAGGAGGCUGAGGCAGGAGAAUCGCUUGAACUCGGGAGGCAGAGGUUGCAGUGAGCCAAGAUUGUGCUACUGCACUACAGCUCAGGUGACAGAGCCAGACUUCGUCUCAAAAAAAAAAAAUAAAUAAAAAGUGAGUGUAGUGUCAAAGUGCUAAUACAAAAAAAGAGUAACUUAGCUCUUUUUCCCCUCAUUUUUCCAGUGUCUUUUCAAAUAAUAGUAAUUUGUAUGGCCAGCUUCCCUAGAAAACAAAGCCUGAGCAAAUCUUCAUAAGCCAAGAUGUUUGAGAGGAGCUCAAUCCCAGUGAAGCAGGAGUGAAGGGGAAAUGCAGAAAGGCCGGGAAGGAGGGAGGGUGAACACAGAGAGUGCAUGACUGGAGGACGGGACACAUUUUGGUGACAAGUUGACUGUAUCUUCAAACCGUCUAUCUGAGGCAUGAUGCAAGAGUUAUCUACGGAGGGUACCCACCGCUUCCAGCUCUCAUUGGUCGAGCUCUCACAGGGGGCGGUAACGCCUCCCUUCCUCCAGUGCCAAUCAGAUCCUUCAGAGCCUCCAGUCUUUGCAGCCCUAAGGAAGCUUCCGCACAAGGCAGGAGUCCUGCAGAGCGACUAGCAGGGCGCAUCAGGGAAGGCGCACGCAGGUUGGAGUGGCUGCCAUGAGAAACCAGUGACGGCGCACGACUCUCUGGCCAAAAAGCGAGACUAGCGCCCCAGCCCCGGAUGGUGAACCUACAGACUCCAGCACGGUGCUUGGCAUAGGCCUAUCUCCUGUAUUCAAUGGCACAUUUACAACGCUUGUGAAGUUCAUCUGUUAGUUACAGUGCAUUGGCUCCACUUGGCGUGACCCACUACAGAUGUUCAAACUUUUACGUGUUUUGAGACUAGGAAGAAAUAUGUUAAUUUAUAAUUUAAUUAAAAUCAAUAACUCAUUCUUGAAAAUUAAUCUGAAGAAGUUCCAUGAAUUAGGAGAGGAGAGGAAAUCUAAAUAAUUGACCGUAAGGAAUUAGUUGAGUCAGUGAUGAUGCAUCAACUUAAGGGACUCUUACCUCAUUUUAAAAGGGCGAUUAGUUUAAAAUAUUGCCAUAUGCUUUUGACAUAAUGUUAAAUUUAAAAAGCGGAAGAUGAAGCACCUUCCAAUUGUGAUUCAAAAUUGCAUUGGUCAGGAGAGUCAAAGUCACACCACAGUAAGAAACAAUAUGGUUACAUAAACGGAUACAACACACACUGGGGCCUUUGCAGGUGUAUGGUGGGAGGAGGGAGAGGAUCAGCAAAAACAGCUAAUGGGUACUAGGUUUAAUACCUGAGUGAUAAAAUAGUCUGUACAACAAAUCCCCAUGACACAAGUUUACCUAUCUAGCAAACCUGCACUUGUACCCCUGAACUUAAAAUUAAAAAAAAAAAAAAAAAAAAGAAACAACCAAAAAAAUCCCAGCAGCUUAGGACAACAAGCCUUUGUUUAUUGCACACACACAUGCCAAGUAACCAUAUGACGUGAUAGCUAUGUUCAAUGGCUUCACUAUAGUAACCAUUGUACUAUCUACAGGAAUCCCAUAACCUCAUGUUGUAAACCUCAAAUAUACACAAUAACAUUUAUUUUUAAAAAGAAAAAGGAAGUCUCCUGCGUGUUCGGGAGGUUCUCCCAGACACUGUCCACACACAUUGCCCAUGAUUCUUCCUGUUGGGUUGGAAUCAGGUGGUGAAUGGCACUGCUCCCUUAACCACCAUGCUAUCCAGUCACUAGAAUUUCUGCCUAUUCCUGCGAACACAUGACUGUCCACAAUCAGAUAGCAUCAGACAUGUCAAGGUCAACCAUCAGACAAACCAGCAUUUAGAGGAUAAGCAAAAGAACAGGGGACCCUGCCCUGGAUGAGACUCACAGUGGUGCUGAGGGAUGGAGGGAGUUUCUGCUCAGACAGCACAAGCACAACGGACACCGUAAGUCAGCCUGUCCUUGUCCGCUUCGACCCAGUGUGCUUACUGACACAUACCUGGAGUGCCUGUUCAUGUGCAUAGCCCAUCACCCUGACAGCACAACUACAAUCUUUGGACUCCGUGUCAUAGUUCAUCUUGUGCUGUCAGUUUGGAUCCCGGUGCUAAUGUUACUCAUGAGAGUCCAAGAAGGUUGAGUCCAAGACAAUGGAUGAUAAUCGCCCAACUUACUACAGCACAAACACUUUGUGGAAAUGGGCACUUAACUGAAAAUCUCUUAUUCCAGCAAGAGAGGUCAUAUUUUCCAUUUAUUUUACAACACUUCUUCAGAUCCUAUGUGGAGGUCUGUUUUCCUAGAAAAGAUCAUUUAUUCCAGUCAUUUAGAACUAAAAUUCAAAAUCUGUGCACCCUUGGUUAUUUAAUAUAGAUAACGGGAAAAAAAUCUGAGCAUAUUAUGGGUUAUUAAACACUAAAAUGUGCUUCUGAAAAAAAUUGCAGGAUAUCUUCAUGUGAAAUUCUUUGGUUCCCUAUGGAGCCAGGGAUCCUGACUAGUUGCUUCUUGAGGUGUUUCCCAAACCUGGGAUGCUAUGAUAGGGGCCAUAAAAUCAAUAUGCUGAGUUGAAAAAGAUUAUAUCUCAGCAGCUGGUGAAGAAAGCAAACCUAAAAUAUUUUAGAUAAGCAUUUAUUGUUCACUAAAUAAGUGUGCUGCCUUAGCAAAAGGAAUUACCCAGACUGCAAAACUGCAACAAACUUGGAAAAACCUUUAAAUAUACAGAAUAUUUAAUAUAUCAUUUAAUGUGAAAAAAACGAAGAAAGUCUUUCCUUAAAGGAAAUAUCAAAUUUCUCUAAUCACAUUCUUGUUUAACAACAAGACUAUAGUUUAAAAAAAUUCAAAGGAAUAGCACUAAAUCCAAACUAUAAAAGAAUAUUAAUAUAUAAAUUAAGUGGCACAUAUCAUGCCAUACAGUUUUUUAAAACGACAUAUAGUGUUUUUAGCCUGGGCACAGUGGCUCGCACCUAUAAUUCCAGCACUUUGGGAGGCUGGGGCAGGUAGAUCACAUGAGGUCAGGAGUUUGAGACCAGCCUGGGCAACAUAGCAAGACCUUGUCUCUAUUUUUUAAAUCCAAAAAUAUUAGCCAGGCAUGGUGGUGCACGCCUGUGGUCCCAGUUACUCAGGAGGCUGAGGUGGGAGGAUCACUUGAGCCCAGGAGAUGGAGGCUGCAGUGAGUUAUGACAGUGCCAUUGCACUUCAUCUUGGGCAACAGAGUGAGACCCUGUCUCCAGUAAAUAAAUAAAUAAAUAACAUAUGGUGUUUUUACAUUUCUUUAUAUUCAUAGAUAAAAUAUUCAAGCAAUUAUUUUUAUGUGUGGGUUGUGUUCUAAAAGUCACAAUGUAUUUUUCCUGAAGAACAAUGGUGUUUUUGAGGUCAGACUAUCUUCCAAAAGUUCAUUUAACUCAAAAUAUUAUAGAAAGAUAGUACAUUUGCAAACAAAGUUAAAGUAGACUAAACAAAAGUUAAGUAAUAAAGCAGACUGUCAAAUUAACAUACAAGAAACAGUAGCCUUCAAUACAAAAAAUAAUCAGAAGAUAUAAUGUAUGAGAGAGCCCCAUUUCCAGCAAGAAAAUAAAAUAUAAAAUACUUAAGAAUGAGCUUAACAAGAAAUUUGCAAAACCUCUAUAAGGAAAACUUUAAAAUACUCCUGAAGAAGAUUUCAAUAAACACAAAGACAUCCUUUGCUCUUUGGGAUAGGAUGAUUCAACCCAUCAUUAGUAUAUGAGUUCUUCCUCAGUUGAUUUAGAAACUUAACAUGAUUAAAAAUAAAUAAAUGACAGGCAUUUUAAUGGAGCUAGACCAGUCAAUACUAAAAUCAAUAGGAAAAAAUAAAAUGUUAGAAUAGUUAUGACAACAUUGAAAAAUAAAAACCAUAAGGAAGUGAAAUCCUACCAGAUACGAAAAUAGACUUUGAAGCCUCUAUAACUAAAGCAAUGUGGUUCUGGCACCUGAAUAGACUGACGGGCCAGUGGAAUCAAAUACAGAGUCCAGGAAUUGAUCCAAGAAAAAAUGGGAAUGUAAUGUAUGAUGAUGAUGGUGUCUUACAUUACUGGGGCAAAAAAUUCAAAAUAAGCCAUUUGAGGACAGGGGCAGUAGUUCACAUCUAUAAUUUCAGCACUUUGGGAGCCUUAAGCAGGAGGAACCCUUGAGCCCAGGAGUUCAAGACCAGCCUGGGCAAUGUAACAAGACCUUUCCCCGCCAACAGCCUUCCCCAUCUCUACAAAAAACAAACAAACAAACAAAUUAGUUGGGCAUGGUGGUAUACAACUGUAGUCCUAACAGUUCAGGAGGCUGAGGUAGGAGGAUCGGUUGAGCCCCCAGAGUUCAAGGCUGCAGGGAGCUAUGAUUAUGUUACUGCACACCAGCCUGGGUGACAGAGAGAGAGCCUGACUCUAAAACAAGCAAAAACAAAGACAUUUGAAAAAAAGAUGAAAUUGGAUCCUUAACUUGCACCAUACAAAAUAAGAAAUUCCAACUGACUUGAGAAAUAAUUGUUAAAAAUGAAACCAUGCAAGUACUAGAACACAUGGAAGGGUUCUUCCAUAACCCACCAUGGAUAAGGAAAGGUUCUAUUCAUUUAUCAAAUCUGGAUGUGAUAAAAGAUAAUAACAAUAUAUUUAAUUACAUAAAUAUGUGGUUUUUAUAGCUUAUAUGUAUUCUAUGUUAUGUAUAAUUGUGUUAAAAAAUAAAUGAUAUUCAAAUAUAUAUUUUGCAUUUCAGAAAUAUGUGAUGGCAAACUGGGAGAAAAUAUUUGCAGCAUGUAUGUAGUAGGUGAAAAGCACUGUCUUUUGGUCUUAGGAACCCAGUUAAGGGAUCUACUUGAGAUUUAAGAAGCAAGAAAUGGAAUACCAGGCAAAAACAAUAAAGUUGCACCAAGGUCUAUAUGGGAUUGACAGCAAGACAUUUUAUCUGAGCCCUAGUCAUUGUCCUGUGCAUUCUGAACCAGGUAGGAACUAGAGUCUACAUUUGGAAGGAACUGCAAAUGAGUGCCAAGUGAUCCAGUUGAAAAAUUAGAGACAUCAGCAAUUCCAUGAAGAUGUCACCACCCUAAGUGUCAAUAGAAUCCCUGUUAUAAUAGUAGGAUAUUGACCCAUG